CCGCUCUACUUGGAUAACUGAGGUAAUUCUUGAGCUAAUACAUGCAGACGAGCUCUGACUUUACAGGAAGAGCGCAUUUAUUAGACCAAAAUCAAUCGGCGCAAGCCGUUUUUGGUGACUCUGAAUAACUACGCAGAUCGCUCAGGUUUUAUACCGGCGACAUGUCCUUCAAGUGUCUGCCUUAUCAACUUUCGAUGGUAGUUUCUAAGCCUACCAUGGUUGCGACGGGUAACGGAGAAUUAGGGUUCGACUCCGGAGAGGGAGCCUGAGAAACGGCUACCACUUCUAAGGAAGGCAGCAGGCGCGCAAAUUACCCACUCUCGGAUAGAGGAGGUAGUGACGAAAAAUAACGAGACAACCCGCUCUAGCGAGUUGUCAUCGGAAUGAGUACAAUCUAAAUCCUUUAACAAGGAUCUAGCGGAGGGCAAGUCUGGUGCCAGCAGCCGCGGUAAUUCCAGCUCCGCCAGUGUAUAUCUAUGCUGUUGCGGUUAAAAAGCUCGUAGUUGGAUCUUCGUGUCAGGGACCGGUCCACCUUUGUGGUGUGCACUGGCUUCCGACACUAAACCGUCAGUUUUCUGUUGGUGCCCUUCACCGGGUGUCUUCAGUGGCUGGCAUGUUUACUUUGAAAAAAUUAGAGUGCUCAAAACAAGCGUCUCGCUUGAAUAUUCGUGCAUGGAAUAAUAGAAUAGGUCCUUGGCUCUAUUUUGUUGGUUUUCGGCGCACAAGGAAAUGAUUAAGAGGGACAGACGGGGGCAUUCGUACUCCGACGUUAGAGGUGAAAUU
rnacentral:rRNA from 1 species